rnacentral:rRNA from 1 species
AUACAGAGGUCUCAAGCGUUGUUCGGAAUCACUGGGCGUAAAGGGUGCGUAGGUGGCGUGGAAAGUCAGAUGUGAAAUCCGGGGGCUCAACCUCCGAAUAGCAUCCGAUACUCCCAUGCUAGAGAACUGGAGGGGGAUCUGGAAUUCUCGGUGUAGCAGUGAAAUGCGUAGAUAUCGAGAGGGACACUAGUGGCGAAGGCGAGAUCCUGGACAGUAUCUGACACUGAUGCACGAAGGUCAGGGGAGC